rnacentral:lncRNA from 1 species
AGGAGCGGCAUGCAUGUCAACUGUUCAUGCUGGUGUAGGUGUUGGAGGUGCGGCAGUGAUUCAUGUGAAGAAGGGGGCUGGUGGUGUAGUUGCUGCUGGAGUUGAUGUUGCGGGGUCGGCUGCCACGGCUGGGAGGCGAUGGCCAUGGGGCAAACCGAGUGCCAAUCUCCGAACGGUGGCGAACCCUGAUGAUCUGCAGUCACUUGCCAGCCUGGCGCGACAAUGCUGCCAGCAGCCUCAGCGGGACACGAAAGAGAGUAUGGCGUUUGCGCAGCGACUUGC